rnacentral:rRNA from 1 species
GGCUCAGGAUGAACGCUGGCGGCGUGCCUAAUACAUGCAAGUCGAGCGAACAGACGAGGAGCUUGCUCCUCUGACGUUAGCGGCGGACGGGUGAGUAACACGUGGAUAACCUACCUAUAAGACUGGGAUAACUUCGGGAAACCGGAGCUAAUACCGGAUAACAUGUUGAACCGCAUGGUUCAACAGUGAAAGACGGUCUUGCUGUCACUUAUAGAUGGAUCCGCGCCGCAUUAGCUAGUUGGUAAGGUAACGGCUUACCAAGGCAACGAUGCGUAGCCGACCUGAGAGGGUGAUCGGCCACACUGGAACUGAGACACGGUCCAGACUCCUACGGGAGGCAGCAGUAGGGAAUCUUCCGCAAUGGGCGAAAGCCUGACGGAGCAACGCCGCGUGAGUGAAGAAGGUCUUCGGAUCGUAAAACUCUGUUAUUAGGGAAGAACAAAUGUGUAAGUAACUAUGCAC